rnacentral:lncRNA from 1 species
AUCUGGCACCUGAUGUGGCGGUUCGCGUCAGGUGUCACCACUGAGAGCCACCAGCUCUACGGUCCCUUCAUGCGGCAGCUGUCAGUCUGCAUCUUUGAGUGGGAUGCAGGCGAUGUCCGCAGACUGCUGGAGGCCAAGAGGUCUGAGCUGGAGGGGAAGCACGGGAUGGUCGGCCUCACCGAGGCUUCGAGGAAGAUCGGCAGGAAGGAGAUGGCGCUUCACUGUCGGCGUCGUACGCGUAGAGCUGCGGCGACCUAAUUCUUUCUCCUUGACCUCCUCGAGACCUUCAACGGCGAGAAGGGGGUCGACACCCUGGGCAUCCCGUUGCUGGACUCAAUCCGCAUCCAGGAAAUCUGGAAAGAGCAGAGGCGCCACCUCCACUGCAUACAGGACCCACCCGGUGUACAGCUGUACACCGAGACUGGCAAAAUCACCAAGGGCAGCGUGAUUUUGCCGGUUUAUCGCUGCGCACCGGGCUCCACAUCCUUGGAGUCAUUCCACCUCCACCGGUUCAUCCCAGGUAAUUGUCAUUGUGGAACUUAAUGUUUAAUGUUAACAGCAACAGGUCUCCCAACCUAAUCAUGUAUUGUUCUCUCAGGUACCAGGGCAAAUGCAAUGCAUUUCCAGGCAUUCCUGUUGGAUGGACUGGUGAGGUGGAACGAGGACCGUGCGCAGACAGCAGUGGAGGGAAAGAACAGGCAGCCCCUGCUCUCCUACAGUGGCCACCUGCAGCACAUCCUUAACCUUAGCAGCCAAAAAGUGCUUGGCAAGGAACAGGGUAAGGACUACACCAAGCCUAGCAAGUACACGGGGGAACUCCUCGGAGUGGAGUACCUGUACUCGCAGACUGGCAGAGUGCUGCAGGAUGUCAGCGCGGACCCUGACCUUCCGGAAGAGGCAGCCGCCGUUGUGCAGCUCGACGAGGAGGACGAGGGCUUUCAGGAGGAUGUGGACCAGACAGUCCACAUCUCUCAUGUCACUCCCAUGAUCGCCCCGUCCUCCAGCUCAGCGGCACCUCUGUCAGGGGAACCCGCUGACACACUCAGGUCUGGGCCAUCCAGUCCCACCGCCCCUGAAGACGGAAGCUCUCCUGAGGCCCCUGAUCAACACGGUUCUCCUCACCCUGAACACUCCUCUGAUUCAGAGGGGGAGACUCAAGGCCCUGAUGCAAUGCCGGGCUACCAGCAUGUCCGCAGGCUUGCCAGGGCCUUGGUGGAGGUGAGGAGCCGUCAGGGGCUGUCGGACCGCAGGGUAGACGGUCUGGUGGCGCUGUGGCUGGCGCUGCCAGACUUUGACAAGCAACGUUUGAUCUACCCUGCCCGACACCAGGAGAGGAUCGUUCAAGGGCGGUUCAAGGCAUCGAAGGGGAAGUCGUCCAUUAUCCUAGGAAAAGACUCUCUCCAACGGUAUGUUGUUAGUGUUCAUGUCCUCCACCUUACUAUUAUAUUGCCUGCCUUUACAUUAAGGUUCAUCAUUUUUCAAUGUUCUCUAAUUAUUUAUCUCCUCUGUUUCAGUUGCCUUCUCGGACUCAACUCGGGCCCUGCCAAUUGGCCGGGCACCAGCCGUUUGGUGGAGGCAAUUUGCAGUCAGCUCUGCCAAAUCCAUCCCAGCGCCACGCAGUCUGCCGGCGUCAAAAAGAGCAGGUGGGCGCUCAUUCUGGCUGACUACGUGGCCAUCAGGGAGGCAGUGCUGAACAGCCCGAGGUUGAUGGCCCAGACCAACCUUCAGCUCUUUGAGCUGAAUCAAAGGACCAUCAGUCAGUGGUACUCUCGGCGUCAGAAGGAGAGGGAGAGGAUGGUGCUGCAGCAGGGAUUGGGGCUCGCUGUUGCCCCCAGCGUCACCGCCCAGCCCCUCCCUGAAGCCAAGCCCCUCCACUACCAGCGGGAGGGAAUCCAGGCACCCUUCCCUUUCCCUACGCCGCCCCGGUCCCACGCCAGACCACCCAGCAAGGAGAGCCCGCCCAAGCGCCCAUUCAGCCAGCCCACCUGGAGCAACAACCC